rnacentral:rRNA from 1 species
CUGGAGUUUGGCAGAGGGGGGUGGAAUUCCACGUGUAGCAGUGAAAUGCGUAGAGAUGUGGAGGAACACCAAUGGCGAAGGCAGCCCCCUGGGUCGAUACUGACGCUCAUGCACGAAAGCGUGGGUAGCAAACAGGAUUAGAUACCCUGGUAGUCCACGCCCUAAACGGUGUCAACUAGGUGUUGGGAGGGUAAAACCUUUUAGUGCCGUAGCUAACG